rnacentral:rRNA from 1 species
GACGAACGCUGGCGGCGUGCUUAACACAUGCAAGUCGAACGGAAAGGCCCUGCUUUUGUUGGGUGCUCGAUUGGCGAACGGGUGAGUAACACGUGAGUAACCUGCCCUUGACUUUGUGAUAACUUCAGGAAACUGGGGCUAAUACCGGAUAUGAUCUCCUGCUACAUGGUGGGGGUUGGAAAGUUUCGGCGGUUGGGGAUGGACUCGCGGCUUAUCAGCUUGUUGGUGGGGUAGUGGCUUACCAAGGCUUUGACGGGUAGCCGGCCUGAGAGGGUGAACGGCCACAUUGGGACUGAGAUACGGCGCAGACUCCUACGGGAGGCAGCAGUGGGGAAUAUUGCACAAUGGGCGGAAGCCUGAUGCAGCAACGCCGCGUGCGGGAUGACGGCUUUCGGGUUGUAAACCGCUUUCGCAUGUGACGAAGCGUGAGUGACGGUAAUGGGUAAAGAAGCACCGGCUAACUACGUG